rnacentral:lncRNA from 1 species
UGACAGUUCUGAUGACAGGUAUGAAUGUUGAACAGUAAGACGAAGAACAGAUCGACAACUAAAAAAAGACGAUAAACAUAUUUACGAAGUGCACGCUGUUAGACAGCUCAAAUUACAUAUAGAUUAGAUGAAACUAUCAAUAUUGCUUAAAAUUAGAUUAACUUCUUAGUAAGGUACUUGCUGUAAAGCUGUAUCGCUAGUUCUAUUCUUAACCUUAAAUUCAUGCCCUAAAAUUGUAAAAUCACGAAUUCGACCAACGACAACACUGAACACAGACGAAGCUACGUAAGGGACUAAACGUAAGUCUUAAACUAUAUACUAUUUACAUAUGUACAGGCAACGAUUUACAUGAAAUUUGUACAAUUCUAAAUCUUUGCGCAACGCCAAAACUAAAACCAUGUACUUGAAACCUUUUUCAAUAGGAGAAUUAUAAUCGUCCGCUGAAUUACGCCCAGUUCUCGUGUUUAACUUGCGGAGAUUAUAAUCGCGGAAAU